GCCUUAAUCUUAGCUUUAUUCCCCAUUUACCUAAUUAUUUGAACCUUUUUAAGCUUAGUAUUUUUAGAAAAGCAAGCCUAAAGCUAUAGACAAAGUACCUUGAGGGAAAGUUGAAAAAAUAUGAAAAUUAAAGCAUAAAAUAGUAGAGAUCAAUCCUCUUACCUCUUGCAUCAUAGUUUAACUACCCAAAACAGACUAUUGGAACUUUCUGAUCCCCGAAAUUAAAUGAGCUACUCAAGAAUAAUACAAGAAUCAACUUAUUUCUGUAGCAAUAGAAUAAGAAAAUUCUCGAGUAGGGGUGAAAUGCCUAUCGAAUUUAAUAAUAUCUGGUUACUUGAAAGAAGAAUCUAAUUCCGCUUUUAUAUCAUUAUCACUUAUUGAAUAAUAAUUAAUUUUGUAUAAAGAGUCAGUCAUAAAAGGAACAGCCUUUAUGACUCAAGGAAACAACCUUAGGAGAAGGAAAAAUUUACCACCUUUUAGAGUAAAAAUUGGCCUAAAAGCAGCCACUAUAGAAAGCGUUACAGCCCAUACUCACUUACUGUAAAAAUUAUAACUUUUUAAUAACCCCUCUCAAUUAUAUCAAGUAAUAUUAUACCUCUAUAAUAGAUAAAAUGUUAAAAUUAGUAAUAAGGAGAUUGUUCUCCUCUUUUUAAUAUUAGUGUAAACCGAAACGAACCCUCGUCGGUGCCCAACGACUCUUAAUUUAACAGAAUAAAAGGCUUAAAGUACUCACUCAAGAAAUACACCUUUCAAAACAUCGUUAACCCAACACAGGAAUAUUUUAAAGAAAGAUAAAAAGAAUUAGAAGGAACUCGGCAAACUAUGGCUUCGCCUGUUUACCAAAAACAUCGCUUAUUGUUAUAAAAAUAUAAUAAGUCCUACCUGCCCAGUGAUUUUUUCAACGGCCAUCUUUGAUGAUAACGUAGCAUAAUCAAUUGUCUAUUAAUUUUAGACUAGAAUGAAUGGAUUAACGAAAGCCGAACUGUCUCCUAUUUCCUAUCAAUGAAAUUAACCUCUCUGUCCAAAGGCAGAGAUAAGCCUAUAAGACGAAAAGACCCUAAAAGCUUCAAAUAUUAGAUUACCUAGCUUAAACAACAACUAAAGAAAAGUUUUAAUUCCUAAAAUUUGGUUGGGGCAACCAUUGAUAUUAAAGAAUCAUCAAUAAUUUAACUAAUAACUUGCAUAAUAUCAGAGUUACAUCUCAAUUAAGUAAGAAACUUAUAAAAAUGACCCAGAAAACUGAUCAAUGAACAAGUUACUUUAGGGAUAACAGCGCUAUUUCUUUUUAAAGUCCCCAUCGACAAAGAAGCUUACGACCUCGAUGUUGGAUUAAGAUAUCCAAGUGGUGCAAAAGCUACUAACGGUUCGUUUGUUCAACGAGUAAUAUCUUACAUGAUCUGAGUUCAGACCGGAGUAAUCCAGGUCAGCUUCUAUCUAUAACUAAUUUUAUUUAGUACGAAAGGAAAAAUAAAAUAUAGCCUAUUAAAAAUUAACGCUAUUUAAAUUAAUUUAAAACAUUUACAUUUUCAAGAGAAAAUAACUU
rnacentral:rRNA from 1 species